GUUAGAUUUGCCUCAUUUUCAUCCGUGUUAAAUUUAGUAUAGUGUCUAAUCUGAUUGAAGGUCUUUUGACUCAUAUUUAAAUGUGACUGCCACCUCUGAAACUCCACAGUGUGUACAAUAUGUGGCCAAACUACCAGUGAUCUGACAUUCAAUGAAGGAGCCAUGAAACACAUUCUGAGUGGUUUAUUGACUCUAUGUUACAAAAUGCACUCAUCUAGUUCCACAGAGAAGCAUGGGAUAGGCACACAGAGCACUAGAUCUGUCCAGCCAGCUCUUCCCAAUCCCAUUACUAAAGCCUUCUUCACUCUCUACACAUGCAGCUGUCAGGCUCUCACGCUGCUCACAAGAAAUGUUGCAUCAUCAGAACGUCAAUGGGAAACUUCAAAUACAGCAUGACAUAGUAUUGUUUUCAGAAAUGGACUAAAAAAGGAUCACAAUCCUAUACUGUAACUCAAGUACAAUGAAAUCAGACAGAAAGUACAGGUUGUUUGGGAUGAGUGUUAACAAAGAAAGGCACUGAUUUCUAGAGUAGGGAAAAGCUCAUGCACUCUUCUCCUGGAUAAGCUCAUGUGAAUCAGGCAUGCAGAUAAACAUUAUUUGCAUAAUCUGAAUGAAUAAACAAAAAAAGAUCUUAAAAUAAAACAGCGGGCAGAUGCAACAAAAUGCUUGUUUAUACUUUAUGAAAUAUCUACACACAUUUGAAAUACAAAUUGAUUUAUCAAUUCUAUUCAAUCUGAUGUCCGGACCGGCCUGUUUAUAUUUAUACAGUUAUAAAACUUGCAUUACUUAAUUUCUCUUUUUUGUUCUCUAGUCUACAGGUGUAGAUUUUGAAAGCUCACUUGUCAAGCUUUAAGAAUUAUUGUUGCAGGUGUGGAAACUGCUGCUCAUGACUUUAACGAAAUGCAUGAAGAAAACAUUUUCACAGGGAUGAUUUGUACGAGUUAUGAAUAUGAUUGUAAUGGAAGCUUGUUGCAACCGAGCCCAUGUGAUUCUAAAGGCAGAGUACUGGGAAAAUACUGAACAUCUAAAUAUUGACUGUUCAGUUUAGCUUUGUGUUAUUAUGUGAAAUUAUUUCUCCAAUUUUACCAUAAAUCAUGCCCACGUUGUACUGUAAUUUAAAUCCACUAGGUGGCAACGCUGCAGAGAACAUUGUACUCUUUGUCAACUACGUUUCUAACUUUUUUUAUUAAUAUUAUGAUUUCCCCACAGUUACACAAUAUUCUAAAUGUAAAAGUGAUUGCUAAAUAGCUUCUAAAUUCACUUAAAAAUUCUGUGGGGUAGGAAGAUAGUAAAGCAUCUAGGUUUAAAGGGCUAGUACACCCAAAAAUAAAGAUUAUUUCAUCUGUUGAUUAUGUCUUCUUUUUAACACAAAAGAAGAUAAUUUGAAGAAUGUUGGUAACCAAACAAUUGACUUUGACUUCAUAGUAUAUAUAUAAAAAAAUAAAAAAUACCAUGGAAGUCAAUGGGUACUGUGUACUGUUUGGUUCCCAACAUACUAAUAUAACUUAUUUCGUGUUCAAAUGGAGAAAGAAGCUCAUACAGAUUUGGAAAAGGGGCGAGUGAAUAAAUAAGGAAAAUUGUCAUUUUUGGAUGAACUAUCCCUUUAAGCAAUGCUUUGAAAGACAUUUCUUUGACAUUAACAGAGCUUCUUUGCAAACACACAAAUACUGAUGGUCAAAACCUCCAAAUGAAAACAAAUACUGUAUGGCUGCAGAAGCCUGAUGUGCUUAGAUAGUUAGCUCAAUAAAUAAAACCACAUGUUAAGAUGUUUUGAGAACAGUGAUAUAGUGCUAGUAACAUGUAAACAUAAUGUGACGUUUUUUUUUGUUUUUAAAGGACUUUAUAAUUAAGAUACAUAUAAGCAGCAUUACUUUAUAACAGUGUUCCUUAAGACAAAUACAACAUGUGUGCUUUGAUUUGCUACCUGUAGCUUCCAAAUCUAUAAUACAGCAUCUUGAUCUAGUUGGCAAAAUGAUUCUGAACCAGAAAGAAAGAAAAAAAAAACCCAGCUGUAAAGAUAUAUUUCAUAUAUAUUUUAGAAAACAUACAUCAUCUUAAUCUUUAUUUGACUUUCCACCUGUUUUGGCUGGACCCACUGUUGUAGUUAAGAACAUUCUGGAAUGAUUCUGUAGAAAUUCAAAGGCUGCAAAGUCACAGGUUUGUACUUUUUGAAAGAAAGAAGUAUGAUUUAUUACAGAUUGUGCUUAAAAAUGGAAACUGAAACCAUGAAUUUGUGUUAUGCGAAGAAUUUUUACUGUUAUACUGUAUACAUGAUACAUUAUUAACUUAAAGAAUAGUUCACCAAAAAAAAAAAAAUAAAAAAAAAAUAAAUAAAUGAUGAAAAUGUACUCAUUCUUAAGCCUUCCAAAAUGUAGAUGAGUUCGUUUCUUCAUCAGUUUUGGAGAAAUUUAGCAUUUCAUCACUUGCUCACCAAUGGAUGCUCUGCCAUAAAUGGGUGCCGUCAGAAUGAGAGUCCAAACAGCUGAUAAAAAUUCCACAAUAAUCCACAAGUAAUCCACACCACUCCAGUCCAUCAGUUAAUGUCUUGUGAAGAGAAAAGCUGCAAAUCCAUCAAGACAUUUUUAACUUCAAACUGCUUCUGGUUAAAAUACGAGUCCUCUAUCCAUAAUAUUGCUUUCUCCAGUGAAAAAGUCGUCUCAUCUGAAUCAGGAAAGAAAUAUGCACAGUUUACAAACAAAAAUAGUCCAGAACAGCUCUUAGCAAAUAUUUUGGUGGAUUUUGCUAUGAGAGGACAACAGGAGAUGGACUUUUUCACUAAAGGAAGCGUUAUCAUGGAUUAUGGACUAUUUUGAGCAGAGGCACCAGUUUAAAGUUAAAAAGUCUUAUUACUGGAUUACAUGUUUUUUACAAACACGCAGCUUUAAGACAUUAAUUGAUGGACUGAAGUGUUGUGGAGUACUUGUUUUUAUCAGCUGUUUGGACUCUCAUUCUGACGGCACCCAUUCACUGCAAUGUAGUGUUAAUUUUGUUAAUGAGUUUUUCAUUAACAAAAUUAACACUACAUUACGAAAAAUUUUGUUGAUGAGCUUUUUCCCAUGACUAAGACGACAUGAUGAUGAGACAACAAUAAGGUCAAUAAACGGUAACUGUGACGAUAUCAACGUAAUAUCAUUGACGAUAAAAUACAAGAUUAAAAUGUAUUUUAAAAAUAAAAACUAUACCAAAAUUUAUUUUAUUUUUUGUCGAAUAAAAUGAUAUAAAAUAUUACAGCAGACUGUUGUACAUCCCUCUACUAAAUGAGCUUUCGUGUGUGCGGUUGCCAGAUAUCAAGAGUUCAAAUCCGCAAAUCAGAGCUUCUCUGUUGAAAGGAUACAUUUUCUGCCCGGUGUUUUGCUUAAUUUUUGCAAUCUGGCAACCAUGCACUCGCUCUUUAUUACGAAAGCGCCGAUGAUGAUCUGAAAUCAAAGACAAACAAUUAAGCUGAAGUGUAGCGAUUGCAAUGUGCGAUGUUCAGCUUAAAUGAAAGUGUCAUUCAACAGGUCUGUUCUAUCAUCUCGACUAUUUUGUCUGUGAUUGUGGUUGCUGAAUAAAUGGACUUACUGGCUGCUGUUGCUUUAAUAAAGAAACAUUGAUGCAAUUUGGAAUUAUUGGAAUUACUAUCAGGAGUUGUACUGUAUAUAUAUAUAUAUAUAUAUAUAUAUAUAUAUAUAUAUA
ensembl:lncRNA